rnacentral:tmRNA from 4 species
UCAAAUGUCUUUGUGGUAUAAAUAUAUUACAAUUUGCUUGACGCAGACUGAAUACUAAUCUGGACAUGGGGGCAGUACCCAUCGCCUCCACCAUAAACACUUGGAGAAGUAUAUGUUUAAAUGGUUAUCAAAGACUAGACUUGUUGUGAUUACAAGAGACUAUUUCAGAGAAAGAAACCGUAAAGCAGAUGCUAAAAUUCCAAAGUAUCUAUCGGGAACACGAAGUGUUUAUGAUGGGGGCGAACUAGGUUCGACAGGUAGGAAUAGGAAAGUUUAGAAUUGUGGGUUGACUGCCUAAUAGGUCAAAAACUAUAAUUGCAAACGACAAUUAUGUUCCUGUGGAUUACGCUCUAGCAGCCUAAUCGCACUGAGUUUUGAGGGUGUACUUGUAAACAGAAACAUCCUCACCUUAUAGACGUUCAUCCCUUUGGGACGGAAGUAGCAUUAUGCGAA